rnacentral:rRNA from 1 species
AGCGAACGCUGGCGGCAGGCCUAACACAUGCAAGUCGAACGAACUCUUCGGAGUUAGUGGCGGACGGGUGAGUAACACGUGGGAACGUGCCUUUUGGUUCGGAAUAACUCAGGGAAACUUGUGCUAAUACCGAAUGUGCCCUUCGGGGGAAAGAUUUAUCGCCAUUAGAGCGGCCCGCGUCUGAUUAGCUAGUUGGUGAGGUAACGGCUCACCAAGGCGACGAUCGGUAGCUGGUCUGAGAGGAUGACCAGCCACACUGGGACUGAGCCACGGCCCAGACUCUUACGGGAGGGAGCAGUGGGGAAUCUUGCGCAAUGGGCGAAAGCCUGAAGCAGCCAUGCCGCGUGAAUGAUGAAGGUCUUAGGAUUGUAAAAUUCUUUCACCGGGGACGAUAAUGACGGUACCCGGAGAAGAAGCCCCGGCUAACUUCGUG